rnacentral:rRNA from 1 species
CCCUUAGAUGUUCUGGGCCGCACGCGCGCUACACUGACGAAUGCAACGAGCUUAUAACCUUGGCCGAAAGGUCUGGGUAAUCUCCAAAUUUCGUCGUGAUGGGGAUAGAUUAUUGCAAUUAUUAAUCUUCAACGAGGAAUGCCUAGUAAGCGCAAGUCAUCAGCUUGCGUUGAUUACGUCCCUGCCCUUUGUACACACCGCCCGUCGCUCCUACCGAUUGAAUGGUCCGGUGAAGCGCUCGGACCGCGGCCUCUUGAUGGUUCGCUGUCGAUUGGCUGUGGGAAGUUCGUUAAACCUUAUCAUUUAGAGGAAGGAGAAGUCGUAACA